rnacentral:rRNA from 1 species
AGUGAACGCUGGCGGUAGGCCUAACACAUGCAAGUCGAACGGCAGCACAGUAAGAGCUUGCUCUUACGGGUGGCGAGUGGCGGACGGGUGAGGAAUACAUCGGAAUCUACUUUUUCGUGGGGGAUAACGUCGGGAAACUUACGCUAAUACCGCAUACGACCUACGGGUGAAAGCAGGGGAUCUUCGGACCUUGCGCGAUUGAAUGAGCCGAUGUCGGAUUAGCUAGUUGGCGGGGUAAAGGCCCACCAAGGCGACGAUCCGUAGCUGGUCUGAGAGGAUGAUCAGCCACACUGGAACUGAGACACGGUCCAGACUCCUACGGGAGGCAGAAGUGGGGAAUAUUGGACAAUGGGCGCAAGCCUGAUCCAGCCAUACCGCGUGGGUGAAGAAGGCCUUCGGGUUGUAAAGCCCUUUUGUUGGGAAAGAAAAGCAGCAGGUUAAUACCCCGCUGUUCUGACGGUACCCAAAGAAUAAGCACCGGCUAACUUCGUG